AAGUCGUAACAAGGUUUUCGUAGGUGAUCCUGCGGAAGGAUCAUUAACACGUAUCCAAACGUUAAAACCCCCCCCGUGAACCUUCAUCCUGCUCUUGUAACCCGCGUAGUUCGCAAUCUCUGAUAAGUCAUAGCCCGGAAAGUUGUAGCAGUUACAAUCGAGCGGUAGUUCUAUAGGCAAUGUUUCCCCAAGCAGUCAGUGUCGGAAAGUGUCAUUGAUUGUGCAAGGAUAGCGCUUCUACGAUUCCUGUAGACCGUACACUCGGGCAGGAGCUUUGCCAAAGGGUCCCCAUGCCCCCUAAUAACCCCACAGUUUAAUGUGAAGCUCAAUGUAAUACAUUGGGUAAAAAAACCGAACAACUGUUAACAAUGGAUAUCUUGGUUCUC
rnacentral:misc_RNA from 1 species